GCCCAAGCACAAGAAUCGUAAUCGCAGUCUACGCACCAUAGAUAAUCCUCCUAGAGGCAGCUCUAUCACACUCAAAAACUGUGGGUGAAAGUCCCCGGAGCCUCUUUCUCCAUCCCAGGUCAUCCAACCACCUUUUAUCGUACCAUCAGAGCUUUGGUCCUACUAGAUCAUCAUUACCUGAUUGUAGAUUCGGAGAUGAGAAGGGAGGGUAUGGAUUCUUCCGAAAGGGCUCAUAUCUAAGUACUGUGAGAAGUAACCAUUUCAUACCCCUCCCCUCUUUCCAGUCUUGAUCGUAUGGGUAUGGUGGUCGAACGGACUGGACUUCUUUUGGUAGAUUUGAGGGACUCGGUCCAUUCAAACGAUAUCUUUUGAUUUCCCCUAAACGAAUGACGGUCCAUCCGAUUCGCUUUUGGAAGUGAUAUCGGGUCCAAUGAGUCACGGUUUGACCGAUUCCCCCUCGCUCAUCUACCUAUCAGGCGAAGAUAUGAGCCGUGGGAUUAUUAGAUGAGUGAGAGGGCGUACGGAUGUAGGGAAAGAUGAAAUAUGCGCUCAUAGAUUAUAGUUAUACGAUUGCCUUUUCAUACCCCCCUUCCUCAUUAGAGGAGGGAUAUGGGGGAGAAGGUAACUCGAUGGGGCUUACUCUGUGUCUUGGG
rnacentral:RNase_MRP_RNA from 2 species